rnacentral:rRNA from 1 species
UACGUAGGGGCAAGCGUUGUCCGGAAUCAUUGGGCGUAAAGAGCGUGUAGGCGGCCCGGUAAGUCCGCUGUAAAAGUCAAAGGCUUAACCUUUGAAUGUCAGUGGAUACUGCCGGGCUAGAGUCCGGAAGAGGCGAGUGGAACUCCUGGUGUAGCGGUGGAAUGCGCAGAUAUCAGGAAGAACACCAACGGCGAAGGCAGCUCGCUAGGACGGUACUGACGCUGAGACGCGAAGCGUGGGGAGCGAACAGG